CAAUGUGCCCACACUGUCCUGCAAGUGCCCGAUCCCGUCAGAUCUUGGAAGCUAAGCAGGGCCUGGUUGGAUGGGAGACCACCUUGAAAGACCAGGGGCUGUUAGA
rnacentral:rRNA from 12 species